rnacentral:rRNA from 1 species
UACGUAGGGUGCAAGCGUUGUCCGGAAUUAUUGGGCGUAAAGGGCUCGUAGGCGGUUUGUCGCGUCGGGAGUGAAAACCAGGUGCUUAACACCUGGCUUGCUUUCGAUACGGGCAGACUAGAGGUAUUCAGGGGAGAACGGAAUUCCUGGUGUAGCGGUGAAAUGCGUAGAUAUCUGGAGGAACACCGGUGGCGAAGGCGGCAUCCUGGACCAAUUCUGACGCUGAGGAGCGAAAGCCAGGGGAGCAAACGGG